UACGGAGGGUGCAAGCGUUAUCCGGAUUCACUGGGUUUAAAGGGUGCGUAGGCGGAUAGGUAAGUCCGUGGUGAAAUCUCCGAGCUUAACUUGGAAACUGCCAUGGAUACUAUAGAUCUUGAAUACUGUGGAGGUUAGCGGAAUAUGUCAUGUAGCGGUGAAAUGCUUAGAUAUGACAUAGAACACCAAUGGCGAAGGCAGCUGGGUAGACAAAUAUUGACACUGAUGCACGAAAGCGUGGGGAUCAAACAGG
rnacentral:rRNA from 1 species